rnacentral:rRNA from 1 species
CCUACGGGCGGCAGCAGUCGAGAAUCAUUCACAAUGGGGGAAACCCUGAUGGUGCGACGCCGCGUGGGGGAAUGAAGGUCUUCGGAUUGUAAACCCCUGUCAUGUGGGAGCAAAUUAAAAAGAUAGUACCACAAGAGGAAGAGACGGCUAACUCUGUGCCAGCAGCCGCGGUAAUACAGAGGUCUCAAGCGUUGUUCGGAAUCACUGGGCGUAAAGCGUGCGUAGGCUGUUUCGUAAGUCGUGUGUGAAAGGCGCGGGCUCAACCCGCGGACGGCACAUGAUACUGCGAGACUAGAGUAAUGGAGGGGGAACCGGAAUUCUCGGUGUAGCAGUGAAAUGCGUAGAUAUCGAGAGGAACACUCGUGGCGAAGGCGGGUUCCUAGACAUUAACUGACGCUGAGGCACGAAGGCCAGGGGAGCGAAAGGGAUUAGAUACCCUUGUAGUC